rnacentral:sRNA from 1 species
GUUUAUCUUUCUUCUUCCUCUUCUUUAAAUGUGU